AGAUCAAAGGGCUGGUGUGUCACUUGUUGAUGAAGAUUGGGACUAUAAAGCAACAGAAAUCUUGAUCUAUAGAAACAGAAUCAAUGAUCUUGAAAUAGAACUUCAAAGAACAUUUCAUUAUUACCAGGAAGAGAUUGUUUCUGUUCAGAAAGAAACCCACCAUAAUUGGUUGGCAGCUUGCAUUGCUGAAAGAAGCCUGAAUGACUUGAAGCAAGAAAAUAAAAGGAAAAUGUA